CGUAGGGCGAAGCGUUGUCCGGAAUCAUUGGGCGUAAAGCGCGUGUAGGCGGGUCGUUAAGUCUGCUCUGAAAGUCCAAGGCUCAACCUUGGGAUGCGGGUGGAUACUGGCGACCUCGAGUCCGGAAGAGGCGAGUGGAAUUCCUGGUGUAGCGGUGAAAUGCGCAGAUAUCAGGAGGAACACCAAUGGCGAAGGCAGCUCGCUGGGACGUGACUGACGCUGAGACGCGAAAGCGUGGGAGCAAACAGGAUU
rnacentral:rRNA from 1 species